CCAAGAUCGCACCACUGCACUCCAGCCUGGGUGACAGAGCAAGACUCUGUCUCAAAAAGUAAUAAUAAUAAUUUAAUUAAACUGUUAGACCUAAACAGUGGUGCAUUUUGAAGAUUAUCCCCAAUCAUUUUUCAUGACCACCACUCAUUUUGCCAAUAAAAUAUUCUUCACAUCCCUCAUGUCAACUAACAGACUACUAGAUAUAGGUUUAGUGAGGAUUCUUCGAUCUCUAAAUAAUCAACUCCCGCAGUACCGAGUCCUGAAUAGGCUCCUUCAUUGAUUACUGCUUGAGUGGAUAUGUGUGAGUACAUGCACACUCACUUAUGUACACUUCUCCACUGUAUACACAUGUAAACAUGUAUACACUUCACCUUAUUCUGAAAACAGUCACCUCCCAGGGACUCACUUUGCCCAACAAAUACACACUUGUUUGCUAUAGGUCAUUAAAAAUAGCAAAGGCUAGCCGGGUGUGGUGGCUCAUGCCUGUAAUCCCAGCACUUUGGGAGGCCGAGGCAGGUGGAUCAUUUGAGGUCAGGAGUUCAAGACCAGCCUGACCAACAUGGUAAAACCCUGUCUCUAAAAAAGAAAAAAAAAAAUCAACAAAAAAAAAAUAGCAAAGGCUGCUGAAGGUGUUUUUAUGCUCACAUUCCCUAUGACUAAGAAAAUGCCCAUCUGAAUCGAAUCAUGAGAAAACUCAGAAAAACCUGAAUCAAGAGGCAUUCGAUGAAACAACUGCCCUAUAAUAUUCAAAAGUGUCCAAGCCAUGGAAUGAAGAGUAUGACUGAGGAACUGUUUCAGCUGAGGGAGAUGGAGAAGGUCUUGAUAGCCUAGAAAAAUGACAAGACUACAAGGCCUUGAAGAGGAGGAAGAGUGUGAAGAAAACAAAAAAGGGAGAUUGAUGUCUGCUUCACCAUUUUACCCAAGGCUUGACCUGUCACACACUGAAGCUCAAAGAGGAAGAAAGGACCGUGUGAGAGAAUAAGGGAACAGCCUUCCAUCCAUAGAAGUUUGUCUAUGACAAAGCCACUGGCCCCGUGUGGCCACUGAGCACUCAAAAUGUGGCCAAUCUGAAUGCAGAUGUGUUGUUAGUAUAAAGUCCACAUUGGCUUUUUAGCACUUCGUAUGAGAAAAAAGAAGACCAAAUAUUUCCUGAAUAAUUGUUGCACUGAUUACAUGCUGAACUGAUGACAUUAUGGAUAUACUGGAUUAAACAAAAUAUAUUAUUAAAAUCAAAU